AUGGCUCAGGACGAACGCUGGCGGCGUGCUUAACACAUGCAAGGUCGAACGGGGAUAACGGAGAGGAGAGCUUCGGCAGGAAUCGCUGUAUCGAGUGGCGGACGGGUGAGUAACGCGUGAGCAACCUGUCCCAGACAGGGGGAUAACACUUGGAAACAGGUGCUAAUACCGCAUAAGACCACGGGAUCGCAUGGUUCUGGGGUAAAAAGGAGAAAUCCGGUUUGGGGUGGGCUCGCGUCCGAUUAGCCAGUUGGCGGGGUAACGGCCCACCAAAGCGACGAUCGGUAGCCGACCUGAGAGGGUGAUCGGCCACAUUGGAACUGAGAGACGGUCCAAACUCCUACGGGAGGCAGCAGUGGGGAAUAUUGGGCAAUGGGCGAAAGCCUGACCCAGCAACGCCGCGUGAGUGAAGAAGGCCUUCGGGUUGUAAAGCUCUGUUAUAGUUGACGAAGUGCGUGACGGUAGGCUAUAAGGAAGCCCCGGCUAACUACGUGCCAGCCGCGGC
rnacentral:rRNA from 1 species